rnacentral:rRNA from 1 species
UCUUUAUAGUAAUUAUAUUAAUUUUAUAAAGAAUAAUUUGAAAUUAAUAUAUUUAACUAUUUUAUUGGGGUGAUAAUAAGAUUUAAUAAACUCUUAUAUAUGUUUAACAUAAAUUAAUGAAUAAUUGAUCCUUUAUUAGUGAUUAUUAGAUUAAGU